rnacentral:tRNA from 1 species
GCCUGGGUGGCUCUGGUUGGGCGCCUGCCUUCAGCUCAGGUCGUGAUCCCGGGAUGCGGGAUCGAGUCCCGCCUCAGGCU